GGUGAGGUCCGCCUGUUGGUAGGGGCAGCGGUUUGCUAAACCGUCGGUCGGCUGACAUGUCGGCUCGCGAGUUCGAAUCUCGCUCUCACCG
rnacentral:tRNA from 1 species